AAUGAAUGAAUGAUAGAACCAACA
rnacentral:piRNA from 1 species